rnacentral:tRNA from 1 species
CAAGGUAUAGCUCAAGUGGUAGAGUGCGUGCUUCACAGGCACGAGCUCCUGGGUUCAAUCCCUAGUACUUCCA